ensembl:lncRNA
CUGAAUCAUGUCUCAUCUUCCAGGAAUCACAAAGACUGCAAAGUAGGAUUUUAUGGUUGGACAGGCAAAACAUUUUGCAGUAGUAGAACUGUUAAAACCAGGAAAUGAGGAUGGCAACUCUAGAGAGGAAGUAAAUGUCACCCUAAUCUUCAAAAGGGCAAGAAAGAGGACCAAGGAAACUACAGGAGAGUCAGAAUGAAGUGGCAGAGAUACAUCAGCUCUCUUCUCAUCCUAAUUUCCUGAAUGACUGAACUCUGGGCUUGAACUCGAUUGAAGGAUGACCAACAAGCAAGAAUAAACAAUAAAAACUUAUGACUCCCUAAUUUCUGUAGCUAUCGAAAAAUAUCUCUAAGCCAGGAACUGAUUUAUCUUGCCGGUACAUAUCUCAAAAGACGUUCUGUCACAACACAGAUGUUUCAGGUCAUGACACACAGACCUUACACCUCCACAGAUUGUGUCCUUCUGCUAUUCCUCAGUAAAGUAAAGGUGAGAAAUUUUUGCACUGUUGGGUUUACAUUCAGUCAAUGGGAUACAGUACCAACAGUGUGCCUGUAGGAAAAAAGUGUUCUUGCACCCUAACAUAGGCAUCAUUCACCAUCACAAAUCUGAAGCCAAAAGCUGUCAUUUGCAGUGGUGCUUGGAUAGUAGUAUGUGUGGAUCAGGAUAAUUACAGAAUAAUACUGACAAACAUCCUACUUCAAAUCCUAGCUUCAAGCCUUGGAGAGACUACCAGAACCAGUAGCUGGAGCACUUGUUCUGUCACUGCUGACAAACACCGAGAGCAGGAUCACUAAGUGAUUCCACACUCCCUAGCAUCUAUUUAGGUAAGAGCUGAGAAUGACAGCACCUAGUAACAGCAUGCGGUUUAACAGCUGGUGCCUCAUAUAUGUAUAUAUCUAAUGGUGCCACUUUGCCUCUCAGUAACUAUUAUUCAUGCAUGCUUGAGCAUUCACUGCCUUCUUCCCUCAUUCUUAUCUUCUGCCAUUUCUGAGCAGGCAUAAGCACUACUUUCUGCCAGUUCAUAUGAAGAUCUUUUUCCCUUUGUGUACUGACAAGCUAUAUUUCUCAUUUUUCAACCAAAGAUGUAUUAUUCUCAGAAAUUUUUAUUUGUUUAGCUUUAAAUAAAAUUCCAAAUUUUGCUAGUAAUAUUAUGUACAGAGAAAAGAAGUUUUAGUUGAAAACUGAAACACUCCUACUAUGAGUAGAUUUUUUUUCCUGCAGGACAUGAACACAAUGUUCACCAGUUCAUUAAAGAUAUGUUUGAUAUAAAAGAUGAUUCUGUUGUGAGAAAGUUUCUAAUAUCUUUAACCUUUUCAUUUGAAAUGGGAUCUGAACUCCAUUGAGUCAGAUCCAACAUUAUUAUUGUAUGCUGGGCAUGUACGUUCUGGUCAAAUCAGAGCCUUAUCAUGUUCCAACAGAUUGCUAUACUGGAUGGCCCAAAAUAAUUUUGAAGACUCAAUGACAUCUCUGUAUGGACAUGUAUAGACAAAGUAGGGCUAUGUUUUCAGAUAUUCUACAGAUGUAUUAAAAAGGCAGACCCUGACUUAUCAAAAACUGUGAGAGACAAGGAGUUUCCACAGGUAUCCAUUAUAUUCCACAGAAUCCAUUAUAGUCUUUGUCUUUCAUAUGUUUUCAUGUGCAAAAGACAAAUCAGAUUUGCUUGCUAUCAUUUCAGAAAUGAUGAUUAGUGUUUAUACUCCCAAGGCCCCUGAGAACUUUAAAGUCAUUCAUUACUGACUUAAACUGACAUAGUUAAAAGAACUGUAUGCACAAGUUUUCAUUUUGUUCUGUGUUUUCAGCUCUCCCCUUGUCACCAAACACAGAUACAAGCUUGCACAAGUGAAAAUUGUAAUAAAUUAUUUUCACAGGUGUGUUAUACAGUAUCACUGUUGUGACUAGACUGUG